UUUUUUUUUACCGUUACGAGCAAACAGAGAGACGGGAAAAGACCGUGAGCGGCAAAACGUUAGUGAGCUGGAAGUGAAGUUGAGGUAGAAAGUUGGACAGGGAUAUUUUCUUUUCUUCGAUUGGUUUUUUCCAUUGGAUCGAACCUGUCGAUUGGAUGGACGAGCGGCAGCGACGGAGGAUAAGGUUGAAGACGAGCGCCUGCUGACCGAAGCGGACCUUUCCGUGCCAUUGUACCUUCGUCCCACAUUGCAGAUAAGCGUUGAGACCUCAUUUCACCUUCAUAGCAAAGCAAAAAUAUGCUACCCGGGUAGAUUGGAUAUUUUAUGUUGAACACUUUAUUUUGGGGGUUUAAAAAAGCUCUGAGUCUAUUUUUGUUUUGGUUGUGUUUUGUAAUUAAACUGUAGAGAAAAGCUUUAAAAGAGGUAUACUUGUUUAUAUCUGUGUUUUGUAAAUAAAUGUCGGCUAUUCAUUUCGGUGAGAUCCAGAUACUCUUGUUCCUCUGCUCCUCUUUGAAAAGUUCCUUAGACAGAGGGCACUGACCUGUCACAGUAAUAUAUUGCACUACGGAGUGUGCCCGCUUACAUUUGGUUGCAAGGGAAUAGUAGUCAAUACAAAUAUAGAAUAUCACUGUCAAUACAGAAGUAUACAAUGAUGAAUAAACACACGAACUGGUGGAAGGAUACGUCCCUGGAGCGGGACUCCGGCCGGUGUCUGCAGCAGAAAGCCGCACAGCGCGAGGCUUCUCCAACAUGGCGGCCAGACCGAAGCACUUCCCGUCACGUGGUAGCAGGAGAUUUUUGCUGGACAUGUUCUGGAUCUCAGUAGUCUUGAUUAUGGACCAGUUUUGCUGCCAAGCUCAUGUGUCUGUCAUGGAGAGCCAGAUGGGAUAGGAAAAAGCAGAAUUCCCCCACAGGGAUCACUAAAAGUCUCACAGUUGUUUUUGUGGAUGGACACAGUACCAUGUGAUGAUACGCAGUGAUAUGUGAUAGGAUACAUAACAUGAUGAUAUGUAAGAGCGUGUGAUGGGACACAGUACCAUGUGCUGAUACGCAGUGAUAUGUGAUAGGAUACAUAUCAUGAUGAUAUGUAAGAGCGUGUGAUGGGACACAGUACCAUGUGCUGAUACGCAGUGAUAUGUGAUAGGACACAGUACCAUGUGCUGAUACGCAGUGAUAUGUGAUAGGACACAGUACCAUGUGCUGAUACGCAGUGAUAUGUGAUAGGACACAGUACCAUAUGAUGAUACGCAGUGAUAUGUGAUAGGACACAGUACCAUGUGAUGAUACACAGUGAUAUGUGAUAGGACACAGUACCAUGUGCUGAUACGCAGUGAUAUGUGAUAGGGCAUAUAACGUGAUGAUAUGUAAGAGCGUGUGAUGGGACACAGUACCAUGUGCUGAUACGCAGUGAUAUGUGAUAGGACACAGUACCAUGUGAUAAUGCUCCUGUGAGUAAACCUAAACCAUAAAGAGGGCCAUCUGGUGUCAUAGCUUUUACAGUUUUGAUUUUUAAAAUGCUUUUAUUUUUAUUCUAAGUUGUUUUAAUUUUUAUGUAUAUUAUUUUCAAUUUUUAUGUUAAAAGCAUUUAUGUUUUAGUAAUUUUUCAGUGUAGUUUUGAAGGUUUUUGUUUUAAUGAUGUAUU